GGCGGGAUAGCUCAGCUGGUUAGAGCAGGGGAAUCAUAAUCCCAAGGUCGGGGGUUCAAGUCCCUCUCCCGCUACCA
rnacentral:tRNA from 1 species